UACGUAGGGGGCAAGCGUUGUCCGGAAUCAUUGGGCGUAAAGCGCGUGUAGGCGGCUAGAUAAGUCUGCUCUGAAAGCCCGGGGCUCAACCCCGGGAGGCGGGUGGAUACUGUCUAGCUCGAGUCCGGAAGAGGAGUGUGGAAUUCCUGGUGUAGCGGUGAAAUGCGCAGAUAUCAGGAGGAACACCAAUGGCGAAGGCAGCACUCUGGGACGUGACUGACGCUGAGACGCGAAAGCGUGGGGAGCAAACAGC
rnacentral:rRNA from 1 species